rnacentral:rRNA from 1 species
CCUACGGGUGGCAGCAGUGGGGAAUAUUGCACAAUGGGGGAAACCCUGAUGCAGCGACGCCGCGUGAAGGAAGAAGUAUUUCGGUAUGUAAACUUCUAUCAGCAGGGAAGAAAAUGACGGUACCUGACUAAGAAGCCCCGGCUAACUACGUGCCAGCAGCCGCGGUAAUACGUAGGGGGGAAGCGUUAUCCGGAUUUACUGGGUGUAAAGGGAGCGUAGGCGGUGUAGCAAGUCAGAAGUGAAAGCCCGGGGCUCAACACCGGGACUGCUUUUGAAACUGUUGACCUGGAGUGCAGGAGAGGUAAGUGGAAUUCGUAGUGUAGCGGUGAAAUGCGUAGAUAUUAGGAGGAACACCAGUGGCGAAGGCGGCUUACUGGACUGUAAAUGACGCUGAGGCUCGAAAGCGUGGGGAGCAAACAGGAUUAGAUACCCCAGUAGUC